rnacentral:rRNA from 1 species
AUCUAUGGUCAUACCAGCCUGAACGCGCCCGCUCUCAUCUAAUCUUGGAAGCUAAGCAGGGUCGGGUCUGGGUAGUACUUGGAUGGGAGAAGUGAAUGCUUAGACCAUUUUUGAGG